rnacentral:rRNA from 1 species
GUCGGGAGUUAGGAAAUGUAAGGGUGUUAACAGCAUCCUUACUUGACUAAGGCUCCGGAGGAAGCCACGGCUAACUCUGUGCCAGCAGCCGCGGUAAUACAGAGGCGGCAAGCGUUGUUCGGAAUUAUUGGGCGUAAAGAGCACGUAGGCGGCAUUGCAAGUCAGCUGUGAAAUACUUUCGCUUAACGAAAGAACUGCAGCUGAUGCUACAAGGCUAGAGUGCGGAAGGGGAGAGUGGAACUUCUGG